rnacentral:rRNA from 1 species
AACGAACGCUGGCGGCAUGCCUAACACAUGCAAGUCGAACGAGACCUUCGGGUCUAGUGGCGCACGGGUGCGUAACGCGUGGGAACCUGCCCUUAGGUUCGGAAUAACUCCCCGAAAGGGGUGCUAAUACCGGAUAAUGUCUUCGGACCAAAGAUUUAUCGCCUUUGGAUGGGCCCGCGUUGGAUUAGCUAGUUGGUAGGGUAAAAGCCUACCAAGGCGACGAUCCAUAGCUGGUCUGAGAGGAUGAUCAGCCACACUGGGACUGAGACACGGCCCAGACUCCUACGGGAGGAAGCAGUGGGGAAUAUUGGACAAGGGGCGAAAGCCUGAUCCAGCAAUGCCGCGUGAGUGAUGAAGGCCUUAGGGUUGUAAAGCUCUUUUAACCGGGAUGAUAAUGACAGUACCGGGAGAAUAAGCGCCGGCUAACUCCGUG